AAGUCGUAACAAGGUCUCCGUUGGUGAACCAGCGGAGGGAUCAUUAACACGUUAUCCACGUAUCAACCAACGAGAACCCGUUUUCACCGCUCUCUUCCGGAGAAUGAAUUGGAGCUUGCUUAGAGUUAUUGAAUGGGAUGCUUGCGUUAGACUCUACUCGCUACCUGCGUCGCAGUGUAUUAAUUUACGCAGGCGCUAACAAUUGGAUCUCUUGGAGGAUUAAUCUCACUGUUCAUGUUCCAUUCAAUAAAAUUUUCAGUGAGAACUAUAUUUACCCCUUUCACCCCCUUUUUGCUAGUUGACUUUUAUAUGUUGUACGUUUGUUUCGGCAAAUGUGCACACGUUUAAAUUAUUUGAACGUUAAAAAUACAACUCUUAGCAAUGGAUAUCUAGGUUCUC
rnacentral:misc_RNA from 1 species